GGCUCCAUAGUGUAGUGGUUAGCACAUCUGCUUUAUAUGUAGAAGGUCCUGGGUUCGCGCCCUAGGUGGAGCCA
rnacentral:tRNA from 1 species